GGAAGUAAAGUCGUAACAAGGUUUCCGUAGGUGGACCUGCGGAAGGAUCAUUAUUGUAUAACCGAGGUGCGAGGGCUGUCGCUGACCCGAAAGGUCGUGCACGCCCAAGUGCCCUCACACACAUCCAUCUCACCCCUAUGUGCACCACCGCGUGGGUCCCCCUUUGGCUUGUUCGGAGGGGGGCUUACGUUUUCACACAAACUUUGUAUGCAGUGUAGAAUGUAUUUUUUGUUUUUGCGAUCACGCAAUCAAUACAACUUUCAACAACGGAUCUCUUGGCUCUC
rnacentral:misc_RNA from 1 species